GGCUCAUAUCACAGUAUGCUGUCACUCAAUGAAGAGACAACAAAAGAAAACAGAUUAAAGUCAAGAAACUUGGGGAAAUGACAUCAAACUAAGAGAGUAUUCUCUAAGCUGGCUAUACUUUGAGUGUCAACCUGGAACAUACCCGUGGAGAGCAAAACUAAGAAACAGCAACAGGUAAAUGAUGGAAAAGCUUACACUCAAAGGAGCAUGGACUUAUGGCUGGAUGAUGUGGACAGUGGUCCACAGGACUUUCCCAUCUGCAUGAGCAAUAUGCCUGCAGCCUGAGACUGAAGUCCCCUACAGAGAUCCACUACUGAGAUGAGUUACCUUCACCUCCUCCUUCAUUUAUGUACAACGUAUGUGCUGAGUUUCCAGUACGCUGACUCAUCUCCAUUAGGGCACAUGGCCCAUCCCAUACCAGCUUUCCUGUACUUGUGUUUGUGAUUUUUCAUAUCUGUCACCCCAGUCAGGUCAAUCCCAAAGUCAUAGCAAUGAGUUUGCUUCUCAUAAACAUUCUGAUCAUCUUACCCAUUCUCAGUUUUAAGCAAUCCUUUUGUUUCUUCACAUUAUUACAAUUUCUUCUUACAUUAAUUUUAUUGUUCAUUGUCUGGUAUAAGCUAUAGAUAUUGCAGUGAAACCAUCAAUAGUAAUAAUAAGGAAAUCAAAUAUUUUUAGCCAAAAUCUAAAGUUCUAGCUAGAUGGUUGAGCAGUUGAGAGUGAUGGCUGCUCUGGAGGACCAGAAUUCGUUUCCCAAGUAUCCACACGUUGGCUGCUUCACAACCAUCCUGUCCUGAUAAGUUUUGUGCCAUCUUGACACAAGGUGGAGUUAUCUUGGAGGAGAUUAUUAUCUGAGGUAAUGCCACCAUCAGAUUGCCAGCAGGCAUGCCUGCUGAGCAUUUUCUUGAUUGAUGAUGGAUGUGGAAGGGCCUAACCUAUCACACAGACCUGUGUUUUUACUUAUUUCACUCAAAUUCCCUUAGACUGUUGUAUUUAGCUCAGAGCCACAUAAAUUGUUUUUGUUUUGAGUCAGAAAUAACAACUGUACAGAUAUCUGGGGCUGUCACAAUAAUUUAGCAGGUAAAAGCCCUUGCCACACAUUUCUAACAACCUGUGUUUAGACCUCAGAACCCAAGGUGGAAGAAGAGAAUUGACUCCUGAAAGUUGUUCUUUGACCGCCAUCUAUAUCCUUUUGCAUGGAUACACACCUGCAUGCAUGCACACACUCAGAAUAAUCAUUAUAUGGGAAUUUGAAAAAGGAGAAAGUUGAACAUAUAUGUUUUAUAUAACAUAUUAACUUUGUAUGUUACUAUGUAGAUGCAAUUUACAAAUACUUUACUUCGGAAACAUCAUUUUGUAGUGAAAACACUUAAAAUAUUUUCUGUAAGCUAUUUGUCUGAAGUUUUGAGCCCAUGAAUAAAUAAAUACCUUUUAAAAUACAACAGUAGGAAGAAGCAAAAUAAUGUGUGAAUCAGGGCUUUGCCAAAGUAUUUCACACGAUGUUUCUCUCAAAUAUACCUGCAGACUCUAUAAAUAAUGAAUAUUCCCAUAUGUAGGAAAAUUUUUGUAUUUAUUAUUUAUUUAUUGGCAUAAAGGUGACAUCAAGUUUGUAAGAUGCUAUGCUCUGGAGAAGCUGGUGGGAAAGACUGAAAGAACAGUGUUAUAAUUAUGUAAAUCUUGGCAGAACUUCCUUUCAAGUUUCUCAGGCAAUAUUUUUUCUUGGACAGAUGGUACCAAAACUAGAGUUAUUUCUCUUCCUGGAGUCAUUGCUCUCCUGCUCAAUUGUUCCAAUAAGGUCCUGCUUUUUACCUGUGUGCUUGGAUGAUAUACUCUGUCCUCCAUUGCAUUGCAAUGUCACUACAACCCGUGGCUGUAAGAAAGAUGCACAUACGUACAGAUCCCUCAAAGAAUUUUUGUGUAUAUUUCUAUUUUAACCCAUGUAAAUAUAUUUCGAUUCUCUCUCGUUUUUAAUUUGGCACUUUUAUCUUUAAAUCUACUUAUGUUGUUUUUUCUUUAUACUUCAAACUUCAUAAUAUCCUGUUACUGAAAUCCAUCCACUGAAUUCUGCUCAAUCACAGCAAUUAUGGGAGGGCCAUCCAGAGGUUUCCCCAGUUCUCUGCUGCUGCAAACAUUGAUCUAAUCAGUUCCUAUCAUGGACUUGUAGACAAAAAUGUGGAUUUCAUUUCUAGAUAGAAAGCAGAUCUAGAUAGCAAAAUCCUAGAUCUGAUUAUGAGUGGAAAGGGAUAAAUUGUAGCGUGGGAUCUGUUAUGAAGGGCACUUGGAGGAUAGACUACAAUAUAAAAUGAGCAACUUAACCAAAGAAAAAAAUCACAGUUAUUAAAAACUGGAUAUGAGGUGACUGUUCUAAGUGUAGAAAACAGAGUGUAGCACACAACUCUAGAAGAGAGAAAGGGAGGAGAGUGUAGAGAUAGGUCACAGUUUUCAAUAAGGAAGAAAUGGGGUUUACCAAGUCUGGUCAACAGUGGCUGUUACAUAGAAACUGCUUGAAUCCUAGAGCAUAUGUGGGACAUUUUCCUUAGAGGUUGAAGUACACCCAUCGUGCAACAAAUUAUUGGAGCAUGACUUCUAAAAUGAGAAAUUCUUUAGGGAUUUCCCCAAAGCCCCCUGUUGUAGUUAGAGGCAAUAAAGAACAAACUACACCACAUUGAAGGUUUAUUGGUAGGUGGAGGACUUCGGAGGGUGCCUCCGAAGGAGAAGUGAUGGAGAAAGGAAGAGGGUAAGGACUGAGCUGGCAUUUAAAGGGGGUUUAGCGCAUGUGCAUGCGCAUAGACUGUUAAGCAGUAACACAGCCUUAGGAUCCUGGGCUGGCCAGGUGUCUGCCUGAAUGCUGACAAAGCAUGGGCACAGAGGGUGUUCUUAGUGGCUACAGCUGAGGGCCCUGGGGGCAGACUAGCAUGAUGCCUGAAUGCUAAUAAGCACAUUUGUGUAGGAGUGCUUAUGGUUGAUGAUGUCUCUGCCAGGUCCCCAAAGGCAGGCUAGCAUAAUGCCUGAAUGCUAACACCCCUGUCAUUAGUUGAGGGAAUACCUGAAAGAAGUUUCUCUCCUUUUCAUAAUCUUGCCCCUAUAUCUACUUUUAAAUGGUUAAAGUGCAUCAAUAAUUAAAAGAUGUGAGCUAGUUUGCCAAGAGUUUUACACUGGGUUAUCAAACAUUAGUGAUGCUAAAUUAAAAACUCCACCUCAGCAAUAUGGAGAAGUAAGCAUAUGAUUAAUGUAGACGUCAAUUUAGUCACUCUAACUAUGAGCUGGUAGAGGGACAUGAACCCAAGUGAGAAGAGAAAUUAAACCAAAUGUUAGCCAUUGAGAAAUAGCAUGCUUCAGCAAAAUAUAUAAAAGAGAAACAUUGAAAUUGGCUUGUUAAUAGAACUCUACACAGUCUUCUGGUAUCUUGAACUUGUGGACCAUUGAAGUGUCACUUCUAGAGGUAGACCCCAUCACAGUCUUUAUUAUUCCAUUCUUCUAACAAAUGGAUAAAAGGAACUGAGGAUACUGUGCCAUCAAGCAUGUCAAUGUAUUUGGUUAAGCUAAUCUAUAAAUGUACUCAUUAAAUCUUGAUACAGGAAUACAGUUUUGCAUUCCCUACUGUUACACAUUAUAACUAUAAUGAUGAUAUUGAAAUACUGCUUUAAGGAAGCAGGUGAAGAACACCUGAGACAUUGAAUACAUCAAGAACCUCGGUUGUGUUACAAAAUAAUUCCAGAUCAAACCUACGAAGACCCAGGAAAGUCACAGAACUAUGGACAGAGUUUGUGAGGGUUCUAAGUGAGGGCAUGGGUUUGAUAGAACUCUAAACCCAGUAAGAUACUCAAAUGAUGAUAAAGUGAAGUAUUGCCAGAAAAAAAAAAUAGUGAACUGAUGUAAGAAGCACUGAGUUCAAGUUCUGGAUCCACCACAACCAGUCAUACAGAUCUCACUUUUCUGAAGUAUACAUGGAAGAUGCAGGAAAUUACUAUCUCUCUUUCUAGAAAAUACAACAUAAAAAUAAGGAUUUAGGGCUGAGUCUCAGACUUAAUUCUGUGUUUGAAAAUGUCUUUGCAUAUAAUGCAUUUGAAUAUUAUUUGCCUUAAAACUCAUCAUGGGAUAAAAUUACAAGAGUAAUCAGGAUCAGAAGUCAAAUGAGUAAUAAGGAUAGGAUCUUAUCUAUUCAGAGCUGACCAAUUAUUAUGCGAUGGGUGAUUUUUACCAUAGUUAAAACAUGAUAACAUUUUCUUGGCUUGGGCCAGUGUCUGUCUCAAACCAACCAACAGAUGGUCCCACUAUCUAAAUGAAGACACAAGCUUGCCCUGAAAGUUACCAUGUAAGCUUCAAUCUGGAGCUGGGCAGUACAUCUGUUCUGAUUGUUUGAUGUCUAUGGCAAGCUAAUCACUAAAUUUAAUAGCCUCUGUAUCCCUCUCUGAUUCCUUCGCUUACCAGCUUGGGCUCAGUCUUCUUGAAAACCAAGGAAACAGUGGUAUUUCCUUUCUCUCACACAUGCCCAUACAACUCUUAACACCCAUCUUCUCAGAGGAAAGGAAAAGAAAUAUAAUGAACUUGAAACUGAAUCUCCAGAAGCAAAGGUUUGUUUGGUUGUUUUCUGGUUUUGUUUUUUGUUUGUUUUGUUUUGUUGUGUUGUGUUGUGUUGUUCUGUGGUUUAAAUAGGCCAUAGGAAAUUCCUAUUUUAAAGCACCUAUUUAACAUGUAAGGGUAAGAUGCUAACAAAGUUCAAGUGCAAGUCCCAUUGCUAACUUGUUCUCCCAAUGCUAACUUGGUCUUUUAAACAACUGUCUGUGUCAAAUAAAUUAUUUAAACUUUA